UACGUAGGGGCCUAGCGUUGUCCGGAAUUAUUGGGCGUAAAGAGCUCGUAGGCGGUCUGUUGCGUCGGCUGUGAAAACCCGGGGCUCAACCCCGGGCCUGCAGCCGAUACGGGCAGACUAGAGUUCGGCAGGGGAGACUGGAAUUCCUGGUGUAGCGGUGAAAUGCGCAGAUAUCAGGAGGAACACCGGUGGCGAAGGCGGGUCUCUGGGCCGAUACUGACGCUGAGGAGCGAAAGCGUGGGGAGCAAACAGG
rnacentral:rRNA from 1 species